UGAGGAACAUGACCUUCGGCGGGGGAGUAGCCGGCCCAACGGCCGGGUAAUACCGCGUACGACCACAUGGGGACAUCCCCGAGUGGUGAAAGCAGCAAUGCGCCGAUGGAGUGCCUCGCGGCCUAUCAGCUAGUCGGUGAGGUAACGGCCCACGAGGCGACGACGGGUAGCUGGU
rnacentral:rRNA from 1 species